AGUUGGAUAAAUGAACGUAAUAAACAUCAAGGAAGAAGAAGUUUGAAGUCGUUUGCAGUUUGAAUGCUAUGGAGGAAGAAACUUAGUUUGGUAUAUUGUGAAUUGGUCACAGAGUAAGAUUUAUAUUAAUACAUACAGACGAUUUGACAAAAAAUUUCAGCCAGACCGAGGGACAGCAACGCAGGUUUGGCGAAUACAGCUCCAUGUACUUAAACAGUGUUUUCAGAAAGCCUGAGUUGAAGACAACAAUUUUGGACAGCUGGACUGACCUCAGCUAACACCAGCCCAGAAAAAAACUAUUCAAUCUUGCUGCUCUCUGAAGAAAAGGUCCGGAAAACUGCAUACUCUAGUAAACAACCGAUCACCUGGCACAGACGAUUACCUCUGCUUUACACCAGACCAGUGGAGGGUGGGCUCCCUCUGUAUUGCUGGGUUUUGUCCCAUCUGGGAGUUUUUUCUCACCAUCAUUUGGUGUUUUUCUCUCCAAAUGGGAGUUUUUUUGUACCUCAUGUGCUUCAUAUUUUGGGGGUUCAGGCCAGGUUUUUACUCUUUGUCUGUUUCUUGCUAUUCUUCUGUUACUCUGUAAAGUGUCUUUGUGACAGUUCUCUGUAAAAAUCCGUAUACAAAUAAAAUUGAUUUGAUUUGAUUAAUUUGACUUCCCAGCAGAAUUUCAUGAACGUUUAUGUACCCUCUUAUCUCCUCUAUUUAUGAGAAUAGUUAAUGAUUGUUUUUAACUUGUUCUGUCUUCGCUGCUAUGAACUCUGCUGUUAUUUCUCUGUUAAUAAAACCUAAUUAAGACCCA